UGGGGAAUCUUGCACAAUGGGGGCAACCCUGAUGCAGCGACGCCGCGUGAGCGAUGAAGCCCUUCGGGGCGUAAAGCUCUUUCGACCGGAACGAUAAUGACGGUACCGGGAGAAGAAGCUGCGGCUAACUACGUGCCAGCAGCCGCGGUAAUACGUAGGCAGCAAGCGUUGUUCGGAGUUACUGGGCGUAAAGAGUGCGUAGGCGGUUUUCUAAGUUCGGUGUGAAAUCUCCCGGCUUAACUGGGAGGGUGCGCCGAAGACUGGGAAGCUGGAGUGUGGGAAAGGCAGGCGGAAUUCCUGGUGUAGCAGUGAAAUGCGUAGAUAUCAGGAGGAACACCGGCGGUGUAGACGGCUUGCUAGACCAUAACUGACGCUGAGGCACGAAAGCGUGGGUAGCAAACA
rnacentral:rRNA from 1 species